UGCUCAGGAUGAACGCUGGCGGCGUGCCUAAUACAUGCAAGUCGAACGAGUUCUCGUUGAUGAUCGGUGCUUGCACCGAGAUUCAACAUGGAACGAGUGGCGGACGGGUGAGUAACACGUGGGUAACCUGCCCUUAAGUGGGGGAUAACAUUUGGAAACAGAUGCUAAUACCGCAUAGAUCCAAGAACCGCAUGGUUCUUGGCUGAAAGAUGGCGUAAGCUAUCGCUUUUGGAUGGACCCGCGGCGUAUUAGCUAGUUGGUGAGGUAAUGGCUCACCAAGGCGAUGAUACGUAGCCGAACUGAGAGGUUGAUCGGCCACAUUGGGACUGAGACACGGCCCAAACUCCUACGGGAGGCAGCAGUAGGGAAUCUUCCACAAUGGACGCAAGUCUGAUGGAGCAACGCCGCGUGAGUGAAGAAGGCUUUCGGGUCGUAAAACUCUGUUGUUGGAGAAGAAUGGUCGGCAGAGUAACUGUUGUCGGCGUGACGGUAUCCAACCAGAAAGCCACGGCUAACUACGUGCCAGCAGCCGCGGUAAUACGUAGGUGGCAAGCGUUAUCCGGAUUUAUUGGGCGUAAAGCGAGCGCAGGCGGUUUUUUAAGUCUGAUGUGAAAGCCCUCGGCUUAACCGAGGAAGCGCAUCGGAAACUGGGAAACUUGAGUGCAGAAGAGGACAGUGGAACUCCAUGUGUAGCGGUGAAAUGCGUAGAUAUAUGGAAGAACACCAGUGGCGAAGGCGGCUGUCUGGUCUGUAACUGACGCUGAGGCUCGAAAGCAUGGGUAGCGAACAGGAUUAGAUAC
rnacentral:rRNA from 1 species